rnacentral:tRNA from 1 species
AGAUGGCUCAGUGGUUAAGAGCACUGACUGCUCUUCCAAAGGUCCUGAGUUCAAUUCCCAGCAACCAUCUG